rnacentral:snRNA from 1 species
UAAAAUUGGAACGAUACAGACAACAAGAUUAGCAUGGCCUCUGCACAAGGAUGACCCACAAAUUCAUGAAGCAUUUCAUAAUAAA